AGUGGAUUUAGUCAUUCAGGAUGAAUUGUUUGUCCCAUUACGAGGAAGACAUUGUGGGUGCUUUAAAUAGAGCAUGGCGAAUUUAGGUGACACAUUUAACGCGAGGGAAGAAAAAGAUGAUUUCCACUCCCCGAAGCAACAGAGAAUCGAAAAGAGGAGGCAUAUACAUCAAUAACUGCCUUGCACCCCAAAUAAGAUAGGUGCCGACUUGGAAACCUAGACAGGAGAGCUGAAACAGGAAGAUGAUCAGAUGGAAUUUUCUGGAUGUUUAGGAACCAAAAGUACACUCAGAUAUAACCAAUUCAUGCCUUAUAUCAGCAGACUAAGCAUAUGCCGACAGUAUGAAAUUCUUGUAUAUUCAAGCAUUUCACUUCAGUGCAACAGUGAAAAAGUGGCCUGUUUUGAAAGUGGGAAGAGGUUAAUGGAAUCAUUUUCAAGUAUGCUGAGCUGGAUCCUGAGAGUUAAGAAGACUGAGCCAUUUUGGCUGUGUGUUUUAUAAGCCAUACGUAUCUACAGAUGCCAGAAAAAAGUUCAAAAAUCAUAUUAGGAACCCUAGACUGCUUUUUCUACUUCACUAGACCCUUAUCCAGUGGCUGAUGGAAGCAGUGACAGACAUCCACAGAAAUACACUGAGCUGAAAUCUAGAACCUAGUUGAAGAGAAGGAGGAAUGAAGAUCGAAGGGGUCUGUACCAGGUUGGAGAAACCCACAGAAAAAGUUGGCCUGAAAAAGGGAAAGCAAAUCGACCACAGACGCUGUUUGGGAGGCCAGUGCGGGACUGAUCCAGCCCCCUGAUCAUGGAUGCCAAUGGGGAGUCCCCUGCACUCCGGGGAGCCUCCGGAGGUGGACUGGCGUUUUCCCCUGGUGUGUGUGGGGACUUUGAGAGCCCAUUCCAUGUGAAGGGAUGCGCUCUGUCUCUGGACACAUGGGG
rnacentral:lncRNA from 1 species